ensembl:lncRNA
CUCAACUAUAAUUAAACUGUUGUGGUAUAAAAAGGGUUUUAAACUAGUGGUUACAUGUGGCUUUCAAAAACAGUAAUUAAAUAGCAAAACCAUCUGGUUGUAAUCUUUGGAAAAGUUCAUGCAAAUACAUGCAUACUUUAUGCACAUUCAUCAGUCAAAAUGUUGCAUUAAUGGUGCAAAUAAAAGUCAAGAUUAUUUGAUUUUUUUCACUUUAUCAACAUGAUAGCCUAAUCAGUUUUCAGUUUUCGGUCACAUGACUGGCAUGGAGCCCUAGCCGUCAAACAUCCAUAUAACCACAGCACUGUCCUGUUAAUUGAUUUGUUUCAAGCUGCAAAUAUUUAGAUCACUUCUCAAAACAGGAAAAACAUAUAAGAUAUGGGAACAACAUUUUGGGGCAAAUGUGAUCCAUAUACAGCACCUGCUUGUCUUUUUCAAUCACUAAAAACAGGUGGACAUUCUAAAAAGGAAUAUUAUGGAUAGAGGACUCGUAUUUUAGCCAAAAGCUACAGUUUUAAGUUUAAACAUUAACGAUGGAUUUGUUUCUUACAAACACGCAGCUUUUCACUUCACUGGAUGUUAACUGAUGGACUGGAGUGGUGUGGAUUACUUGAGGAUUAUUGUGAUGUUUUUAUCAGCUAUUUGGACUCUCAUUCUGACGGCACCCAUUCACUGCAGAGCAUCCACUGAGAAACUGAGUCAAAGACAGCAAGACAGAGACAGAACAUUGUGUCCAGGCAUACCCCAUCUGGUUCUCAUCUUGCUGCUUCUAUGGGAACGCUUCACUACCUUUCAAUAAAAAAAAAAAAAACAUGGAGAGAAAGAGAAACAUAUUAUCCCGUGUUCUCCAGGCAAUUCUACUCUAUCCACACUGACCUCAACAAAUUCAGCACAAACACACCCACACACAGGAACCAAAUCCAAACAUUUUUCAAACACAAAGACGCAUUAUUUUCAUAAUGGUUUUCAUAGGCAUUUUGUCCCUGUGGCUGAAGGAGAGAGGCUUGAUAAAUGAUGGGAGAUCAUUGGGGAGAAAUGGUAAUAAUUUAAUAGCUGGUAAAUUAAGUGUAAGAAAGCCACACACAGGGGUUUUCUGCAGAAAAAAAAGAAGAAAGGAUUUAUUGUUGUGGGUUUUGGUUAUUUUGCUGUUUUAGGCUGUAAGGACCUUUAAAAAUAGCUGAAAUAAUUUUUUAGCGUGAUAAGGGAUCAGAGUUUGAAUGUAUAACUUUACAUUCAAGAGACCACAAUGUGAUUACUAAAUAAAGUUACAUGGUAAAGAGUGGGAGAGUUACUCAACUCUAAAAACAUGAAUUACACCUCUGGAGGGAGAUGACACGAGGCUAUAAUAUUAUAACAACUCUGAAAUCAGAGCACAGUUGGAUAAAUUCGUAAAAUUGAAACUGAAUAUGGGACUAUACCUUGCUGUCCUGCAUCAGGACGUCUUUUAAAAUGCCCAGAUUGGUGUAUCCUUGAAAGCUGCUGGAUUUGAUUAGUUCUGUAUUAUGUUCUACAAUAUGUACUUCACCAAAGACUUUCUCUAGUUCUGUGUGAAGUUAGAGUGCCACAUGAAGGUCAGUGCAUUACUGUUGUUCAUUUUGUAUUGUCGGAUUAUCG